rnacentral:lncRNA from 1 species
CAAGCAAAACAGCGACACGUUCGAGAGCCCUGGAAACGUUAAGGGCCACGUCGCGGAAGCAGAUGCCGUUGCGCUCCGUCCAGACGACCCACCAAAUUGCCGCCAACUUGGUUAACAAUUUUGAUCUAGUAACGGCCUCGGGGAUGUCCGAGAUCAGUGUCCACAGGUGACGAACGUCCCCCACUUCCGAAAUUUCCUCCUCUAGAACUCCUGCUUUAAAACGAAGAAAUUUUACAACGAUACAGUCGUGGAAUAGGUGGUCGACGGUUUCGGCUAGUAACACACAAA